GAUGAACGCUGGCGGCGUGCCUAAUACAUGCAAGUCGAGCGAACAGACGAGGAGCUUGCUCCUCUGACGUUAGCGGCGGACGGGUGAGUAACACGUGGAUAACCUACCUAUAAGACUGGGAUAACUUCGGGAAACCGGAGCUAAUACCGGAUAAUAUAUUGAACCGCAUGGUUCAAUAGUGAAAGACGGUUUUGCUGUCACUUAUAGAUGGAUCCGCGCCGCAUUAGCUAGUUGGUAAGGUAACGGCUUACCAAGGCAACGAUGCGUAGCCGACCUGAGAGGGUGAUCGGCCACCCUGGAGCUUAGCCACGGUCCAGACUCCUACGGGAGGCAGCAGUAUGGAAUCUUCCGCAAUGGGCGAAAGCCUGACGGAGCAACGCCGCGUGAGUGAUGAAGGUCUUCGGAUCGUAAAACUCUGUUAUUAGUGAAGAACAAAUGUGUAAGUAACUAUGCACGUCUUGACGGUACCUAAUCAGAAAGCCACGGCUAACUACGUG
rnacentral:rRNA from 1 species